rnacentral:lncRNA from 1 species
AGCAGAACUGGAUCCAACCUGCUGCUUAGAGACACCCAAUUGAGUCCAACCUAGAUCAGUUUCUCUUGGAAACUGGAUCUGACUCCCAUAAAGAAGCCCAUGCUAACCUGCUAAAGAAUAAGACCAUACGGAAGAAAGAUGAGUUGUUUAACUGGGGCCAUUCUGGACUAUCCAGCCUACAGCAAACCCGCCAGCUGACUGUAGAUGCGGGAGCAAACCCAGCCAAGAUCAGCCAAGAUCAGCCAAUCCCAGCAAAGACAAGAAGAACAUCCUAGGUGGCCAAUAAACUUUUGAUCAAAAUAAAUCCUUUA